UAGACCCUGCCUGGCAGAGGUGUGGCUCGAAGCCUACUUCUGCCAGAGCCUCUGGUUGCAGCACAACCUGCUGCCACCCAUCAUUAAGGGUGCCCGCCCCAUGAUAAGGGUAACGAAUUGUGGGACAGGCCACUGCACCGGGGAAGUUCUCCGUCCUUGUCCCAGCUGCUGUGACUAACUCAGGUCACCUAGUAGCAGGCCCAUCUCCAUGGCUCCAGGCCAAGGCCCCAGUUUUUGCAGCCCCCAGGCAAAGCCCCGUCUCCCAGCAAGAUUGUGGUUUCUAACUACACACUGGAGUAAUGUUUUCUUCAUCCGUUUCCUUGAUGAAGGGAAAAGAGCAGCUAUAAAAUCCUACAUGACAGUUUGGGGGUUGCUGGCUGUUAAAAAGGAGGUGCCACUCUGACUGUGCUGGGCAGGGAGAAGAGAGAACUGUUCCUAGGCUAGUAAGAGAAGGGUAGUUUCAAUUCUGAAGUUAGCAAAGGAAGGGGAGCUGUUCUCCAUCUCCUCUCCCCCACAAGCACUUCUACCUUAACUGUAAUCCUGGAAGAGUUUUAUGGAGAGAGGAGCUGUAUUUUAGGCCAGCUAUUCAUGACCCAGUUUCUUAGAUAUAUCUACUGUCAUCAGUAUUGCCAACUCAUGAGGAGGUGCCCAAAAGAGUUGCUUGGCGCAAACUCAUGAGAUUUUAAAAUCUAAUACACUUUAGGUUCUUUGUAUAUGCCUUCUGGUUUGUAAGUUCUUAGGGUUCACAUUUUCAAGCUUUUCUCUAACUGAAAGCUAUAAAAUUACUUUUAAAAUUAAAGCUGCAAGUCUCACUUAGUCACAUGACUCCAGAAGUUGCUGCUUUAAUAAAAACAUCAGCUAUCCCAAGACUCACUAAAAUCACGAGUUUGCAAAACUGUAACAUACUCUUUAGUGAGUCAAAUAAAUUACUAGUGCAACAGCAUCUCCAAACUUAUUUUAAUGUAAUUCCACAUCAAGAAUUAAUUUGUUCAGUGUUUACAGACCGUGUCUUCUUACAUAGGUCAGUAAUUUUACUCACAAAUAUAUGUAUGUUACUCUGGAUCCUGGGUAGUUUUCAAUAUUUCACUUGUUAAAUGGAAAGAGAGGAUUUUUUUUUAAUCUAUAGUUUUUAAACUAUAAGAAAGAAGAAAGCAACCUAAUAGGAGCUAUGCACUUAUUAGGUAGAAGAGAGAGAAGGGCUAGCUAUAGUAGGCAGAGGCAAAAUAAUUGUUUUAGCAUUGCAGCUGAUUGUUUCUUCCAAAUUUCAAGGGUCAGUUACCAUACAGGUAUGCUGGGAGAAGCUAUAAAAGGGUAAACUCAAUGAUUCCUAGGCAGUUAGGCCCUUUGGAAGGUUUUUAGUAUACAACAGUGAGUGCUGGAUUAGGCCCAAUGAAAGCAAGUUACACGUACAAAAAAUAUAUUGUAGUCUUCUCUUUAGAAGGGCAUUUUUGAGUACGAGACAGCUUGAGCUGUCUAGAGCUACAAACUGGCAUCUUCGUUUGUCAUAGUCUCAUGGCCAUUUGUUUUCCUGUGAAUUUUUAAAUAGCUUUUGUAAACUUGUUGUGUAAUCUAAAGUUAUAUUUGAGUGCUUUAAAUAUUCAUAAUGUAUGUCUUACUGCUUCAUGCUAAAAACUGAUCUGUAGUGACAAUCUGUUCAAAAACUCUUUCCAGCUCUAUAUAGAUUAGCCUAUGCUACUUUAGGAAAAAAUGGAUUGGAAGGAAGAGAAAGCUCCACAUAUGCCCUUGAGCGAAGGCAAUGAGUGAAUUAAUAAGAGGCAGGUCAAGACUCACAGUUCUUCCUUUGAAGGAAAGUACAGAGUUAUGGAUGGGAGAAAUGGCACUUGUUUGGCCCACUGAAAUUGUCAUUUAAUCAACACUUUUAAAAAGGUGCUGUGAGGUUUUUAAACUAUUACAAAUUUCCAGUCUGUACUCCUCCUAAAGCUACAUUUUCAUGUAUAGUUUUGGAGCAUUAAGACAAUUAAAUCAGAUCAGCCCAGGAUACAUUUGUUGUCUGAUUUGGAUUUAAAAUACAACUAUCUUCACAGUCUGCUAAUAAGGGCUUUCAGUGCUGUGUACUCCUUUCUUCCUGAUACUUGGAUAGACACAGACAGAUCAGUUAUGUGGUUAAUUGCCAGAUAUUUGCAGUGUAAGUGAAUGUAGAAAAAUCUUGCAUGCAUGAAUAAAUUCUUGUUUUCUACCUGCUCCACAAAACUCCAUUUACAAAUGUAGUAAGCAAAGUGUCAAGAUUUUUAAUCCUAGCAGACCAUUUCAAGUUAAAUUUUUUCAGAACCGCUGUUGUCUGAGGUCAUCUAAUAAAGAAGGAUGAAGUCACAGAUCUUUUUUUGGAACUGUCAGUAGGGAAGCCUGUGCUGCGUGACACUCUUGCUUCUGGUCCUCAGAGUGAUUAACAUGUAAUACUCCAUUGUGUUAGAGGUGGCAGCAUUUUGCACAAGGCCAAAAUAGUCAAAAGUGGUAAUUAGUUCUGGGUGCCUCAACUUUUGGUGCUCCAUUUGAGACAUGUUAGGUUCUGAUAUAAGUGCUAAGCACCAACAACUUCAAAAGGAGACAUGGAUACUCAUUACUCUUGAAAAUCAGGCCCAAGGUGGUACAAAAAUCAAGGGGCACUCCUGAAAAUUGUAAUGUUAGUGUCUUUUCUGUUCAGUGUUGUGUUCCUUGUUUUGGUUAGCAUUCUCCUCAGGCUAAUCUUGUUGCCAGGCUUCCUGCAGGGUAGAAAAAUAGUAGUUGCAGAAGAAAAUCCUCAUUCAGGAACUGGUUAGAAAAAUCAUGUCACGAAAUGUAUGUUCAGAUUCUACAAAGAAAAUAAUAGUGAGGUGUGGAGCAAUGUUAACUAUGCAGGUCACCUGUGUAAACAAAUGUAUCCCGAAUGCAACUAAAUUCAGUGAAAAUGAUUAUUUGUACUUCUGAUGGGCCAACUGGAUGAUAUGCAAAUGUCUGCUUCUUGCCUAUCUAUCAGAGGUGAAUAAUAAUUUUGCUGGAUCUUUCUCUCUCUCUCUCUCAUUAGUUGAGAAGGAAGAACUCACAAUUGUUAAAUACCUUCAACCAUAUAAAUUAUUUCCAGCUUCAGCCUAUGUUUUUUUGUUCAGCACAUGUGGAACAAUACAUAUAAUAUGGCCUUCAUGUUUUGGUGGCCAUCAGGCUUUAUUGUUCAUCAAGGUUUCUGUUUAUUUACUAUGGCAAAACUAAGGUCAGUAUUUACCCACUGCAUCAAUAUGUCUCAAUGUGCAGACCUCAGAGUCUGCAUACUGCUUUUGACGGUCUGUUCAUCUUUCACAGAAAUUCUAAUCACAUUCCAAUCUCUCAGCUUUCCAACUGCAAAAUUUCACAUCCACUCCACAACGAAAACUUGAGUGGUUCUAAAGAUUGAAACUCAGUCACUCAGCAUCAUCCUAACACCCAAAAUCUUUCUGCUAUCUUUGUAAUUAAAUCUUAGCUUUUGAAACUAUAUUUUAAAUUAAGAUUACAUCUCUUGUGUGGAGUGAUUUUACUCUCUAUAUCUGCUGGAGCUCUGAGGAUGCUUGCUUGUAUUUUUCCAGGCCUCGUCUUGCAGCACUGUCCUUUUGGCAGAGAUGAAAUGGAUGGGACUCCCUUGAGAACUGAAUUUUCCUCCUGAGUUAACUGGAGGGGUUGCUGUUGAAUGUUGUAAGGCAGUGUCUCUCACCGCAGUAUCAUAGAUUUAAACUGAGCAUUCCAGAAUGUAAACCAACAAACUGAAGAGUUGUACUAUCAUGCUAGUCCUUUAUUAAGCACAGUUUCAUUUUGCAAACUUUGAUACCCAAGAUUUCUAUAUCCAGUACAAGAUUUAUUUUUGUUCCUCUCAAUCAGUGUUCAAUAUUUAUUUGUUUUAAUCUGCAUUCCUUCUGACACAUUCUAAGAAGCUUUAAAAUGGGGGAGGGGGAUUUUAUCAUUUGUCUUUUUCUAUUAAGCAAACAUUUAUUUCCCUUCCCCCCACCCACAAUGUGUUUUUUGGAUCAAGUUGACAUGAGCAUAAGUGUUUUUGUUUAGCAGCUACAAUUAAUUGUAACUUGCAUUCAUAGUGAUUCUUUGCAUGGCAGCAUGAUUGUCAGUACAGAUGUGGAAACAUUACUUGCUAGUUAAACAUUGCUGCAGAACCUGCAAAGCAAGAAUAAAAUGUAGAUUUAUAGGAACCUAUAAACUGCCAUUGUCAUGGUUUUCAAGUUCUUGUUGAUGAGAGUAUUAGAUUUAGAAGUAAACAAAUAAUCUAAGCAAGAUUGAAUCUGGUACCUAAAGCGUUUGACACUGCCUUCUUAAAAAAUCCUAUCUUUAAAAGCGUACUAUAAAUUAUUAAUGUCAGAUAUGUUUUGUUGUCACCGUAUCCCACAGCUUUCCCUGGCGACAGCUGGCGGUGUUUAAUUUCACUCAAAGAUCCUGUGAACCAUUUGUUCAUGCGUCAUUUUUCUAUAACAGACAUUUUUUAACUAAUUAGGAACAACCUCAUACUAGUUACCUUAGGUCUUAAAACCAUGAUUUAAACAAAUCCCAUGUUGUCAUUUAUAGGAAUUUCUGUGUAGUGACAAAUGGUCUACAAACACAUAGGCAGAAGGAGAAAGGGCUUUAAGGAUGCUCGCCACCAAAUUUCAUACAAGUUUGUAAACUGAAUAAAUAUAACAGUACCUAAGGGUUGAUUGCAAAAAGGAAUAGCUCAGUAUGCUCCCUGAAUGUGCCUUGGGGUAAUGGCUUUUCUGUAAAGGAUAAAAAGGAUUUGAGGACAAGAUACCUGGAGGCUUAAACUGUCACCAUAUGGAGUGGAAUUACAUGCAGGUUCUUAAGUGUUUGGGUUUUUUUCUUUGUCAGUAUAUUUUAUAUACUUUUGUAACUAUCUCUUUGUGUGAACUAAGUAUGAGCUAGUUCACCUGAUUGAUGAUAGCUGGGGGAAGAAGGGUAAAUUGAAUGGGCCAAAGUGGUCCCUGGUAUAACUCCAUAGCAGUCACUGAAAUUAAGUCAUGGAUAAAUUUCUCCCAACACUAACAAGUGAUUUUUUUUUAUUGUUUUAAACUUAUAAUUAGAAAUGGACCUGAACAGAAAUCCAGAUCCAAAGAACCCUGACAUUUGGGAGAGUCCAGAGCCAGACUUCAUGACUAGCUCCAGUUUAACUAAUGGAAUUAACCAAAAUUGCAGACUGACACAUCCCCAUACUUCAAGCAUGUUCUCAUGUCUGUUUCAACUCUGCAGCCUGACCCUGUGUCAACUUGUAGGGAUGAAUUUCAUCUGAUUAGAAUAGCAGAAGAGAAGGAAAUUAAUACUCUGUCGUCAUCGCUGGAGACGGUUUGGUACAAUUAUCUUGGGGAAAGCAGGUUCAGCCAUUACAGCAACAUGACUGGAGACAGAUGAAAAUUCAGCAUGGAGAGAGAAAAAUAAAAAGCUCUGACUACAGGUGAGAGAACAACAUUUGUGUCCCAUUCUGAGGAUUUUGAGAGAGUCUCUGUCAGCAACAAUAGCUUCCUGCAGAGAGACACCUGGUAAGAGGAGUCCAGUAACAUGAGCCCUUUCAAAAGGUACUGGACUGAUACCAUAUUUUGUUUGAGGGCUGUAGCUUGAUUGUUUGGGACAGUAAUUGACUGAAGAGUAUGUUAGUUUCUGUAUUGUUUUUAAAGAGAUAAUUUUUUCUGUCUUAUGACUCCUAUAAUGACUGACAUCAGGAAUUUUUUUUUAAUAGGUCUUCUAUUCAGGGAGGCAAAUAGAGGUUACCGAUUGACUCUUUAAAUUAAAGGAUGUAUUUUAACAUAUGGGAUUACAAAAUGUAUACUAACUUUUAAGAUAGUAUCUACACUACAGUUAAACAUUUGUCCCAUAACCUUGCUACAACACAUGCGUUGUGCAGUAGAGAUGCAAUACAUCCAAAGCUUUAGCCUGAUUAUAGAACAUCCCCACUACAAAUUGCGAUGGUUAACAUAUUUCUGUAAUAUCGAGUAUAUAUGGUAUGUGAUAAUUCCUGUUCAGAGGAACUUAACUUCUAAAUUGAUUCAGAACGGUGGGAGAGGGGGAGAAGAGGGAAGGAAGGAGGGAUAUGUAGAAUAAGGCUGAGGUUGUUUGCAUAGUACAGUUGCAGUAACCUAGUUCCUAAGGUUUGGUUUGUUCAGAAUAACUUUUAAAAUUGUUUAAAGGGAUAUCAUUAGAGAAUCAAUUGAAAGAUAGGUGGGGGGAAAUGGAUAGUGAGGAGGGAGGUUGCAUGGCAUACAGGAUCAAGGUGGUGGUUCUACAUAUAGGUAGUAACAUGAGAGAAGACAUGGAGUUCUCCUUAAAUCUCAGAAUAUUGAUUUUGUUUUUUUGCUUUUGGAAGUGCUUAAAUGUUAAAGUCUUUCUGCGUCCUUUGGCAACCUCUGCUAAAUACAGGACACUGCCUGUAUUUAGGCAUUGUAACCUUGGCAUCUAACUAUUCUAUUACAUUAGAAUCAUCUUCAUUUUGGCAGUCCGCCAACAUCCCAAAAUGACUAGCUGCUAAAAUGUCAUCAUGGAGGAUUAACCAAGUACCCCACACACAGCUGGAUUGACACUGAAAGCAGAGCUGCUCAUUUGCACACUUCUCCAUGCACAAGUUGCCCAUGCCCCGGGCAGGCAGUUUCUGUCUUAGGUAAGUGGAACCCUAUUGGGUCACACUACCUUCACAGCAUUGUCAAACAUUAGUCUUUUAGUCCUUCACUUCUGUGAAGGGCUGGAGACCCUAUAUGCUGCUCUUCAAGAUACUUCUGGCCAACUGAAGGGAAAUGCUGCUCAAUUCCAAAUAAUCCAGACCCUCCUAUGCUGAGAUGGCUGGUCACUACAAUACAGACCUUUUGAAUAGAUGUGGAUUUAAAGAGGAAAAUGUAGUAAAGAAGCUUCCAGGGCUCCAAGACUAACUUGCAACCCCCUAAAUUCCCUGUGAUAAAAAUUUACAGUCACAUAAUCUUGUUACAAGGAAAGAGGAAAUGUUAUGUAACAGUUGCAUACAUCUGCACUAGUUUAAUACAUACAAGUUCAGUUGAAUGCUACCACAACAUUAAUUUGGUGUGCUCCCUAAAAAGUUAGAUAGGUACGGGUUUGUUUUUAUAUUCCUGUGCUUAAAUGAGUUGGGGAAACUAUUUUUUAAUAUGAAACCCACAGGAGCAGAAGGGGCUCAUCAGUCAAUGGCUGAAGCAGUAUUGCCUUUUGAUGACAGGAUGUCCUGAAUCCUGCAGUAAAGAGUUAACAGUAGCAAGCCAUCAACUGGAUGUCACAUCCUUAGCUAAUUGUAAAUGGGGAAUCAUCCUCCAAUGGAGGUGUUGCUUGUGGGGACCCCCUUCAUUAAUCUGUUUUUGGUCCAAUCCUGUUUAAUACCUCUAUUAACAACCUGGAAGAAAACUUACCAUGCCUGAUAAAACAGAUGACAAACAGCAGAGGGGUAAAUGACUGAGUUCUACAGAGCAAUCUCUUGAAGAUCAUGCACUCUAAUACAAUUAAAUGUAAGAUUUAUAUAUAGUAGAAACCAGAAUGUAGGUCACCCAAGGUGGAGGACAGUAUUUUGGAAAGAAGUGACUCUACAGGGCUUUGUGUUACGGGGAUAACCGGUUGAACAUGAGCUGACAGUAUGAUGCAACUGGCUAAGGGCGCAAAGGCAAUAAACUUAUUUGUAUAAGUAGGGGAAUACUGAGUAGAAGUAGGGAGAUGUUACCACUACUGCAUGUAUCAGCACUGAGACAGUUACUGGAAGACUCCUGUACACUUCUCAUGUCUGCUUUUGAAAGAAGUUUACUCCUGGGGCGAUUCUGUGUGACUGUAUUCGCACAGAAAACAGGCCCCAGCCUUACAGUGACAGAGCAGGGCUUGCAAUCUAAUUAGCUUAACAAAAAGAAGGUUAAAGAGGUGACUUGAUCAUGGUCUAAAGCUAUGUCUACGCUACCACUUAUGUCAGCAAAACUUGUCACUCGGGGUGAAUAUUUCACCCCUCUGAGCAACAGAAGUUACACUGGCAUAAGUAAGUGCUAGUGUGCACAGAGCUAUGUUGGUGGGAGAGCUGCUCUUGCUGACAGAACUUAUGCUGCUCCCAGGGUUGGUUUUUUAUGCUGCUAACUCUUUAAUCUUCAUUGAGUGUCUUCACCACAUGUGGUACAGGUGCGCUGCUGUAGCACUAGGUGUAGACAUGGCCUAGGUAUCUACAUGGGGGGAAAGAUUGACAGUAAGAUUUCUUUCAUCUAGCAGACAAAUGUCUAAGAUUCAGGGAUUGGAUCUGCAACUAGGUAAGUUCAUACUAGAAAUCGGACAUUUUUUAUAGGAGAGUAAUUAAACAUUGGAACAACUUAGAAAGAUAGGGUGGAUUCUCCAUCACAUGAUGUCUUUCUAAAAGAUAUGCUCUGGCUAAUCCAGAAGUUAUGGACUUAAUACAGGAAUCAUUGGGUGAUGGAUUUGUCAUGUAGGAUGUCAGACAAUUGUUAUGGUCUCUUCUGGCCUUAAUCUUAUAUUCUGGAGAAUGAGAAGGCAGUAGCAAGACGAUAGUGAUGUAUCGCACUGCUAUAUACUAGCCCAAUCUGACCCUUUGACUAUAGUAGCCUAUAUUACUAUGAAGUCUUUAUAUAGUGUGGGAAAGUUUACAGGGUGUUCUAGAAAUGCACUAAGAUAGCUCUUUCCAGGAAGAUGCUAUAUUCUGUCAUACAAGAAACCUGACCCGGGAGGGGAGGGUAAGGAGAGAUUAUUGGAGAGGAGAAUGGAUGGCUAUUUGGUGGAAAUAGGCUAGUGGCUCUCAACCUUUCUAGACUGCUGUACCCCUUUCAAAAGUCUGAUUUAUCUUGCAUACCCCCAAGUUAUACCUCACUUAAAAAACUUGUUUACACAAUCAGACAUAAAAAUACCCAAGUGUCAUUGCACACAGUGAAAAAUUGCUCAUUUUCACCAUAUAACUAUAAAAUCAAUUGGGGUGUAAAUAUUGUACUAUUUCAGUGUACAGUAUAUAGAGCAGUAUAAACAAGUCAUUGUAUGGAAUUUUAGUUUGUUCUGCCUUCACUACUGCUUUUUAUGUAGCCUGUUGUAAAACUAGGCAAAUAUCUAGAUGAGUUGAUGUAAUUCCCGAAAGACCUCUGUGUACCCGCAGAGGUGUACUACUGUCAGGGGUUCUUUGCUGUGUAUUCUCAUCUAGAUCUCUUCAUUUUCAACCUUUGACAUCACUUCUGUCCCUGUUUUUUCCAUUUGUUGUCCUCAAUAUACAGGUGCAGCCUGGGUCCAAUGGCUGCCCCCCUUUGAGGAGGCAGACCUAGACAUGCUUGACCCAUUACCCCCAAAAAGUACCAGGGUUUAGGUCAACUUAACUUCAUCACAUAAGGUGUGACAUUUUUCACAGCCCUGAGCAAUGUAGUUAAACCAAUCUAAUUUUGUAGAGUAGACCAGCCCUGACUUCAUUCUAAUGAGUCAAAAUGGCAAAUGAAAUUUAACGUGGAUAAAUGUAAAGUAAUGCAAAUUGGAAAAAAUACCCUAAUUAUACAUACAAUAUGAUGGGGCCUAAUUUAGCUAUACCUAAUCAGGAAAGAGAUCUUGGAGCCAUCGUAGAUAGUUCUCUGAAGACAUCCAUGCAGUGUGCAGCAGCAGCAGCCAAAACAAACAUGAUGUUAGGAAUCAUUAAAAGAAUAGACAAUAAGACAGAGAAUCUCUUACUGCUCUGAUAUAAAUCCAUGGUACGCCCACAUCUUGAAUACUGUGUACAGAUGUGAUCUCAUCUCAAAAAAAGAUAUACUGGCAUUAGAAUAGGUUCACAGAAGGGCAACUAAACCUAAAAAUGAUUAGGGGUUUGGAACGGGUCCCAUAUGAGGAGAGAUUAAAGAAGCUAGGACUUUUCAGCUUAGAAAAGAGGAUACUAAGGGGGGAUAUGAUAGAGCUAUAUAAAAUCAUGAGUGGUGUGGAGAAAGUGAAUAAGGAAAAGUUAUUUGUUCCCAUAAUAUAAGAACUAGGGCCCACCAAAUGAAAUUAACGGACAGCAGGUUCAAAACACAUAAAAGGAAGUUCUUCACACAGCGGCUAGUCAACCUGUCGAACUCCUUGCCUGAGGAGGUUGGACUAUAACAGGGGUUAAAAGAGAACUAGAUAAAUUCAGGGAGGUUAAGUCCAUUAAUGGCUAUUAGCCAGGAUGGGUAAGGAAUGGUGUCCCUAGCCUCUGUUUGUCAGAGGGUGGAGAUGGAUGGCAGGAAAAAGAUCACUUGAUCAUUACCUGUUAGGUUCACUCCCUCUGGGACACCUGGCAUUGGUCACUGUUGGCAGACAGGAUACUAGGCUGGAUGGACCUUUGGUCUGACGCAGUAUGGCCAUUCUUAUUCUGUAGAUGCUUGGAUGGGAAGAGGUGGAAGAAAAUACAUAUCAUAACAACUAUUUAUAUAAACUAAAGAGUGAGAUUUCUAUUGUGCUUUCCCCAUUGAAAAGGAUGGUCAAAUGAUAACUCUUCUGCAUAAGAUUCCGCUAUGGAUCAGUCUUUCCUAUUGAAUACUGUCAGUGUUUAAUUUGUAAUUAAAGAGAUGCCAGAGCUCAACCAAUUGUUUUACAUUCAUAACUGAUGCAGCAAGCUCAGAGGUGCCAGGGCUAUGAACUGUCAAACAAGCACAUUGCUGGAAGAGGCAUAUUCAGCAAACUAAUGAUGAAUUCAUAACUCUUGCAGGGCUUUUCUAAUAGCUUUAAGCAAUAAACCUUAGAUAAUUAGAUGUCUUCCCUAUUGUAAGUAUUGAGAUUUAUUAGUGUUUCCACACACAAAAUUAAUUAGGCCUUAUCUUUACAAAAAUUGAAUUUGGGAAAGGGACAUUCCUUAUUGAAUAUUAAGCAGUUAUGGCAGAACCCAAAAGCCAUGACCACAUGUGAUGGUAAGUGCUCCUUCAAGGGUAGCUUUUUUCGGUGGGUUUGUUUUGUUUUUAAAGCCCUCAGUGUCAAGUUAUGGAUUAAUCAGCCAAGAAGUGAUAGAAAAGACUUCAAUCAUUCACACACCCAAGGAUUCUCCAUCUCACUAGCAAUGCAGCGAAAUACUCCUACCUUCACAUUUUUUCUCUUCUCAUUUAUCCCACCUCUCAAGUAUCUACAUUGUGGUUGACUGAAUAGGCUGAACAAGCCUUUGUUCUGGAGCCUGUCCACCUCACUCCCUACUCAGCUAUGGAAUGGAUGUGAAGUAGCAUGAGGCUUUCCCAGCUGGGAAAAAGAGCAUUAGCUUGAAGGUCCCACAAGAGGAAAAUUUGCAUUUACGUUUAUGUAGCUUUUCAUGUCUAAUUGCUUUUCCUCUGGAACCCUAAAUUGAUUAUCAGCAAGAUU